AUGAUACGUUGGCGGAGGAUGUCUGGUUAUAAUGCUCUUUGGGUCCCUGGAGUGGACCACGCUGGCAUUGCUACACAGGUUGUAGUGGAAAAGAAGCUGAUGCGUGAAAGGAAGUUGACAAGGCAUGACAUAGGGCGUGACAAAUUUAUAUCUGAAGUCCUGGAAUGGAAAGAUCAGUACGGUGGUACCAUAUUGAAUCAAUUACAUAGGCUUGGAGCCUCCCUUGAUUGGUCCCGCGAGUGCUUUACAAUGGAUGAGAAAAGAUCAAAAGCUGUACCUGAAGCUUUUGUCAGGUUGUAUAAAGAUGGCCUUAUUUAUAGGGACUAUCGCCUUGUAGAUUGGGAUUGCACGCUUCUAACUGCGAUUUCUGACAUAGAGGUUGAUCAUCUAGAUCUUAAAGAAGAAACUAUGCUGAAUGUCCCUGGUUACAGCACACCAGUACAAUUUGGUGUCUUGAUUUCCUUUACGUAUCCUCUUGAAGGAGGAUUGGGUGAGAUUAUUGUUGCAACAACAAGAAGUGAAACUAUGCUGGGUGAUUCAGCAAUAGCUGUUCAUCCAGAGGAUAAAAGAUAUAAGCAUCGGCAUGGAAGAUAUGCAAUUCACCCCUUCCAUGGCAGAAAACUAAAAAUAAUCUGCGAUGCUGUGUUGGUGGAUCCCACUUUUGGCACUGGGGCUGUCAAGCUAUUACACAAGCCCAUGAUACAAAUGACUUUGAGGUUGGAAAGCGACAUAACCUAG
rnacentral:rRNA from 1 species